rnacentral:rRNA from 1 species
UACGGGGGGAGCAAGCGUUGUUCGGAUUUACUGGGCGUAAAGGGCGCGUAGGCGGUCAGCACAAGUCAGUUGUGAAAUCUCCCGGCUUAACUGGGAGGGUGCGGUGGAAACUGGGGUGCUUGAGUGUGGGAGAGGUAAGCGGAAUUCCUGGUGUAGCGGUGAAAUGCGUAGAUAUCAGGAGGAACACCGGUGGUGUAGACGGCUUACUGGACCACGACUGACACUGAGGCACGAAAGCGUGGGUAGCAAACAGG